rnacentral:lncRNA from 1 species
AUUCCACAUGUGUAGCAUAUAUACAUCAAAUUAGUAUGUAACUGUAAUCAGAAGGACAGCUCUGAGGGAUGUAUAAAUGAAAUCCUAUUUUCCAGACAAUCUUAAAGUUUCCAAGUGGGAAGGGAAAGGAGCUGUCACAAAGCUGUCCUUGCCUUGCACAGAUUAGUGAUGCCAGCAUUGGAUCAGCACAUCAGCCAGCUGAGGGAAGAACUUUUCUAAUUUUUAUGGAGUUCAGGUUUGGCUCUGACGAGGCUGCUGGGCUGUGCUACCUAAAGGCUCUGACGGAGCAAGCAUGUGCAAAAAUAUCCAAGGAAAAUGGAUCCUCACUCAUAUGAAUCUGCUUCCCUGAUCCAAGGCUCACAGAAACCAAUGGUGGAAAAAACAACUCCUGCCA